ACAGCAGCCGCCGCGGUAACACAGAGGGUGCGAGCGUUAAUCGGAUUUACUGGGCGUAAAGCGUGCGUAGGCGGCUUUUUAAGUCGGAUGUGAAAUCCCUGAGCUUAACUUAGGAAUUGCAUUCGACACUGGGAAGCUAGAGUAUGGGAGAGGAUGGUAGAAUUCCAGGUGUAGCGGUGAAAUGCGUAGAGAUCUGGAGGAAUACCGAUGGCGAAGGCAGCCAUCUGGCCUAAUACUGACGCUGAGGUACGAAAGCAUGGGGAGCAAACAGGAUUAGAUACCCCCGUAGUCCCUGUCUCUUAUAC
rnacentral:rRNA from 1 species